UCUGUGGUGUCCAAGGCAGAGAAGAGGCAUCUAGAAGUCUCACUCUGCCUCCUGAUUUUCUUCACUGAGCAAAAUAAAUCAAGAGAAGGUGAUCUGAUUUUCUUUUAAUUCUAAAGCAGUGGAUCUCAAAGUGGGCUAACAGCAUCAGCAACACUUGGGAACUUGAUAGAAAUGUAAGCUCUCCAGCCUUACCUCUGCCUACAGAUUCGGUGCUUUGUGGGGCAGGGCCCCACAAUCUGUGUUUUAAUGAGCCUACUGGGUGCCUCUGAUGCUGCUUGAGCUUGAGAACCACUGAUCUAAUGAAUCUUCAUGUUCAGUGCUGCUUCGAGGCAGGACUGGCUUAGAUGAACAGAUGUCUAAAUUCUGCAGGCACAGAAAUGGAAUACUUUUCCUCUUCUAUCAACCUACAACUGGCUGCUAAAUGUAAAAUUGUCAGGUUCUUGUAAUUACACGUUUCAGGAGGAAUAAUAAAGGGUGUCAGGCUUCUGAAUGGAGGUUUUGAUUCAUACAGUAUUGUGAGUUCAACUUUCCAAGCAACAGGCCAAAGCCUCCUGUCCACAAAGGGGCAAGCAUACAAAUAGUUUGGCUGUUUCCAAUUGGGACCAAAUGGAAACCAUCUGGACUCCACCCUUAAGAGGUUAAUAUAAAUCAGCUCCAUCUGCCUCUUUAUUUUGAUGCAGGUAGAACUCUUCUACCAAAGACAAAACUCACCCCCAACCAAAUACCUUAUGACUGAAAGUAAUUAUCCAAUGUGGGAAGCUAUUUUUUCACUUGCUUUGUGAACUCUGGAAAAUGGUCUGCUCUGACAAGAAGCUAUAAAAUAAAUAUGUAUUAAACACAGGAUUUUUUUUUUCUAUUCAUUUGAGGCACAGAAUCCCUUGAGAGCCAAAAGACUUUAAUGGCUCCCACUGUCUACUGGAUCAAGUCCCAACUCUGAGCCUGACAUGCAAAGUCUUCCUUAAUGUGACCUAGCAUUUUUGACAGGUCCACCUACCCACAUCCUCUUGUUCCAGCUAAACUUGUAGGCUUUCAGGCUUGCACCGUUAAGCCUCUCUCCUCUCUCAAAUCCUUCUUCCUGUAAGUCCUUUCUUUCCACAUGUCAACUUCUAACUCCUCCUCAGUUUCACCCCUGGGGAACAAUGCCCUUCUCUGAACCCAGUGUCCAUCCCUGGGUUCUCUGGGUUCUCUAAACCCAGUGUCCAUGUUUGGCCCCUGAAAGAUGCUGCCUUGUGUGGCUAUUUGUUUUCCUAGAUGUGUAUCCUGUUUAUAAACUACAUUCUGAGCCCCCCCUGUUAUGAACUGAGUUGUGUUCCCUCCCCAAAUUCCUAUGUUGAAGUCCUAAGUCCCAGCUCCUCAGAAUGUGAUCUUUUUUGGAUGUAAGGUCGUGGCAGAUGUAAUUAGUUAAGAUGAGGUCAGACUGGAGUAGAGUUGGCCCCUAAUCCAGUAUGACUGAUGUCCUUAUAAAAAGGAAAUCUUGGACACAGACGCACACAGGGAGAAUGUGUGGGGAACAUGAAGGCCAAGGUCGGGGUGAUGCAUCUAUAAGCCAAGGAACACUAGAUUGCUAACAAACCACUAGGAGACAGGCAUGGAACAGAUUCCCCCUCAGAACAUCUAGAAGGAACCAGCCCUGCCGACAUCUUGAUCUUAACUUCCAGGCUCCAGAACUGAAGUCUCAACAAAUAGAAGUGGUCAGAACCUCUCUCCAGCCUUGAGAAGUCUUGAAGUUCCCAUACAGAUUUUGACCUUUGGGUCUGGGUGCAAUGUCAAGUUAACUGCACAGCGUGAUACACAGAUUCAGUCUUUGUCUUCAUUACCACUUUCUGCUAGGUCUAUAUGGAGAGUUAGAACUAGUGACCCAGCAGUCCUCUGCCUUCAGAUGUCAUCUGGCCCAGUGUAAGGACUGUCCUCUGUAGGGCCACCUGCCUUGGAGACCAAUGAUCAUCCUCAUCCCAAAAGGAAUGCUCAAAAAUCAACUCCUCUGAAAGGAUUUUUGAUUGAAAAUAUCCCCAAAUGGUAAAUAAAUGUCUAAAACAAGUGAUAA